rnacentral:rRNA from 1 species
UGCGCAGGCGGUUAUAUAAGACAGAUGUGAAGUCCCCGGGCUCAACCUGGGAACUGCAUUUGUGACUGUAUAGCUAGAGUACGGCAGAGGGGGAGUGGAAUUCCGCGUGUAGCAGUGAAAUGCGUAGAUAUGCGGAGGAACACCGAUGGCGAAGGCAAUCCCCUGGGCCUGUACUGACGCUCAUGCACGAAAGCGUGGGGAGCAAACA